UGGCCUGCCCAUUGAUGAUUUAAAAGGCCGCGGUAAUAUGACCGUGCAAAGGUAGCAUAAUAAUUAGUCUUUUAAUUGAAGGCUUGUAUGAAUGGUUGGACAAAAGGAAUACUGUCUCUAUUAUAUUUAUUGAAAUUAACUUUUAAGUGAAAAGGCUUAAAUACUUCAGAGGGACGAUAAGACCCUAUAAAGCUUUAUAAAUAAUAUAAAUUUAAUUGAAUUUUAAAUAUAAUAAUUAAAAUUAUAUUACUUAUUUGGUUGGGGCGACAUAAGUAUAAUUAUUUUAACUGCUUUAUAAAUAUACACAGGAUAAGUGAAUAUUAUGUUAAAUGAUCCUUUAUUAUAAAGAUUUAAAGAUUAAGUUACUUUAGGGAUAACAGCGUUAUUUUCUUUGAGAGUUCAUAUCGAAAAGGAAGCUUGCGACCUCGAUGUUGAAUUAAAUUUUCUAUAUAAUGCAGCAGUUAUAUAAGAAGGUCUGUUCGACCUUUAAAUUUUUACAUGAUUUGAGUUCAAACCGGUGUAAA
rnacentral:rRNA from 1 species